rnacentral:rRNA from 1 species
CGGCGGACGGGUGAGUAACGCGUGGGUAACCUGCCUCAUACAGGGGGAUAACAGUUGGAAACGGCUGCUAAUACCGCAUAAGCGCACAGUACCGCAUGGUACGGCGUGAAAAACUCCGGUGGUAUGAGAUGGACCCGCGUCUGAUUAGGUAGUUGGUGGGGUAACGGCCUACCAAGCCGACGAUCAGUAGCCGACCUGAGAGGGUGACCGGCCACAUUGGGACUGAGACACGGCCCAA